rnacentral:rRNA from 1 species
GACGAACCGUCCUAACGUUGUUCGGAAUCACUGGGCUUAAAGGGCGCGUAGGCGGCUUGCCAAGUCAGGGGUGAAAUCCUGCAGCUUAACUGUAGAAGGGCCUUUGAUACUGGCGAGCUCGAGGGAGGUAGGGGUAUGUGGAACUUCCGGUGGAGCGGUGAAAUGCGUAGAGAUCGGGAGGAACACCAGAGGCGAAGGCGGCGACCUGGACAGGUACUGACACUCAACUACGAAAGCGCGGGGAGCAAACAGG